GUUACCCAGGCAGCAAAGGAUACCACUGGACCCAGCGCCACCCGGCCCACCUCACCUCAAUGGCAGUGAGUAGAGAGUCACACAGAUGCAGCUGCAACUGUGGUGCUGGCAAAAUACAGAAACAGAUGUGGCAGAAUGCUAAGGGACAGCUGAUCACCUUUCAGUGUCUGUUUUCAAUGAAAGCUGGAAUUACCAGAAGUCUCCUGAGAUAGCCUCUUCUCACAAGAUUUCCAGCCAAAUUCCAGACUAAAACAGUUCAGUUCAAUAGUUCAGAGUUUUGUCGCUGUGAUGGGGAGCACUUGCCCCACACUGGGCAUGUUCCAGCUGGAGACUAUGUAUAAAAGAGAGCAGCUCAGCUCAUUCAGGGCUGGCCGCCAGAGGGAAAGGACCUUGGGCGGAGGCUUCAGCUGAAGAGCCGUCACAGCCCUUGCCUGCAGGAGCCAGAGAUCCUGAGAGUCAGACUGGAGGUCUGUGGCCAGCAGAGUCUUAGGGAAUCAUCCACGCUGAGGAGCCAGGAGACUCUUGGUACCUGAUGGACUGCAGCUUUGGGAAACACAGUGAAAAGUGACCCAGGGAGGGUGAGUGAGUGGUAUCUCUCACCCAAGUGAGGUCAACAUGUUUCGUUGGGAUUUCCCAAUGACCCAGUGGUGGACACUCAGUCACUCUUAGGGUCCUGGGUCGGGGCGUGGUGGAUUUGAGUGGUCCCCCGUGUACUGGUCACUAGGCCACAUUGCCCUGCAUCUGGAGGCUGUUAUAUUGACUCUGAAUGCAAGGGCCACUGUAACUGACUCUGGCCAUUGGGCCACACAACCUUGAGAGGAGAACAGCCAUAUUGACUUUUACAGUUAGCCCUCACCACCCCAAGACAAAGGCUGGUUAUCAGGACGUGACCACGGGGAAGCAAUUACCUCACCG